UUAUUGCACCUGUAGGUUGAUAAUGCCUUUUAGGAGCUCAUAUGAAUUGAAAGCUAACCAGAAAUUUAGAAGGAAAAACCAAAUAAAACAAAACAAACUCAUGAAGGAGUAAAUCAGUCUCAAAACUGAGAGUCAGAACCUGCAAAACAGCUGCUAUAAAUUGUAAUCCCAGUAAGUGGCAUGUAAUCCCAGCACCUGGCUCUUGUAAGGUCAACAUUACAGAGACUCAAAGUUUUUAUAAGGGUCAUACUUUCAUAGCUAUACUUGCUUCUUAAGAAUGAAUUCAGAAUCAGAGAGAACAGGAAGGUUUAUUCCUGAGAGGACAUGCUAGCAGUCCUCCCAUGGAGUUAACCAGCAGCUGCCCUGAAAUUUGGAGGAGGAUGUUUUACCCAUAACUAGUUAAUCUUGGGAACCAGGAUCCAGUCAUCUUGCAGCCCAGAAGAGGAAUCAGGCCUACAAGAAACCAUGGAAUCCCAGCUUUCAUUGAUUUCUUACUGAUUUUCAAAUGAAAAGAAAGUAAAAAUAUCAGAAUUUCCUGGAGGACACACACUUAAAUCAGCAACAGUGCUGGAGAAAAGCCAUUCCAAUAAGACGUUUGACUUUGUGGGAGCAAUUGUAAAGUGCUGAGUGAAUAGGCCUGGUGAAUGAAGAGAAGCAAGAGGUGAAAGUACUCCAAACUGCUCUUCUACAUCCAAACAAUAUUCUUCAGUUCAGGGAAAAAUAACCACACCAAACAAAGAGAAAGUCCAAAUAGACCUCUAGAAUGAUUUCAGAUGGUGAUUAAUUGUGAAGGUUGUCAUGGAAAUCUGGGAAAUCAUUGACUUGCGAUGGAUUUCCUUGAAGUUCAGCAGCUAUGUCAUUGGACUUCAGGUUACGAUUUGAUCAGCAUAAAGCUACGAAAGGCAAUGGUUGCAGAAUAUCAGAGAAAUCUGCACCAAGCAGUCUCAGACCAGCAGGCAGUCACAAUAAUGUUUGAUGCAUGAUGGAGAGUACUACAGGAUUUACAACUGUUACCAGAGCUGAACUCAGUACUCCAGGUGGGGUCUCACAAGAGCAGAGUAGAGGGGAGAAUGAAGGUGAAGUCUGGAACAAAGAGCUCUCAAUAGAGAAAAAGAGAAGGACUCUCCAGAACGUCCAUUUCUUUCUUGUGCUGGAGGGCCCAGGACUGAACACAUCACUCCAAGUGUAGCCUCACCUGAGGCUGAGGAGAGGGGAAGGAUCAUCUCCCUUGGCCUGCUGGCAACACUUCUAAUGCAUCCCGACAAUUCCCAUUAGCCUUUUUUUGCAGAGCUACGUAUAGAGCCCACACUUUUAACUUUAUUAGUAUAGUUAAGCCAUCAAAACUAUUAUAAUUUGGAGUUCCUAAAAAACACCAGACAGCCUUACUGUCCAGACUCUCCUGGGGUCUCCUCAGCCCUGCCUGUGCACACAGGACCCCGUUUCAGCUCAUCCCAGAACUGUUGUCCCGUAGGAGACAACAAGCUCAUCAGAGUUAUGGCUCCUGACUUAGAGAGUAUUAAUCACCACUGGGAGAGCACCACCAGGGUAAAGUGACAACACUGACACACUUCUGCUGCUGUGUUUUAUGAAGAAGACCAUUAUCAAGUACAUCUUUUCUUCCUUGAAGCCGAACACAUUGACUUCAGAUGAUUACGCUUAACUUUCCCAGAAGUCCAGACAAGCAGAUGAUAACUUCCACCAGGACAAUAGAGUGAAGCUCAAGGACACACAGAAUCUCAUUUUCCAAACCUGGAAAAUAAGCACCAGAAUGACUCAUCAGCCAGCAAGAUGCAUGAAGAGACCAAAUCCUCUGAAUGAAUUCUGCAGUGGAAGCUAAAAGGAUUCAAUAGGAAAUAGGAAACCCCAGUCACCCAGGAAUCUUGGAAGUGAUUGUGGACUGGUCAGAAGACAAAGACUUUGGAAUAUUGCCAGAGGAGGAGGUGACACAUGCUGAAGAGGCCCCGCUGUGUAAUAAACUACAAGAAAAUGAGUUGUGCUAUGCACAGUUCACUGAUGGGUCCUGUUGUAUUGUGCAAAAGCAUCAAAGAUGGAAGGCUGCUGUAUGGAGUCCUACAUGACAAGUCAUAGAAACUGCUGAAGGAGAUGGUGAAUCAAGCCAAUUUGUAGAAGUGAAGGUCAUCCAGCUGGCUUUAGAUAUUGCUGAAUGAGAAAAGUGGUCAGCGCUCUGGCUGUAUACUGACUCACGUCAAAUGCCCUAUGUGGGUAGUUACAGCAAUGGAAGUAGAGCAACUGGCAGCGCAGAGGCAAACCCAUCUGGGCUGCUGCAUUGUGGCAAGAUAUUCUCACCCGAGAAGAGAACCUGGUUAUAAAAGUAUGUCAUGUAGAUACUCAUGUAUCCAAGUCAGGCUACUGAAGAACAUCAAAACAAACAGCAGGUGGAAUGGCUCAGGUGGAUCUGGACUGGCCAAAAAAGGUUGAAUUAUUUAUAGCUCAGUGGGCCCAUGACACCUCAGGCCAUCAAGGCAGAGAUGCAACAUACAGAUGGGCUCAUAAUCAAGUGGUGGAUCUGGCCAUGGACACUAUUGCAUGGGUUAUCGAUGAAUGUGAAAUACACACAACAAUCAAGCAAGCCAAUUGGUUAAAAACUCUCUGGUAUGGAGGAUGAUGUCUGAAAUAUAAAUACAGGGAACCUGCCAAGGCAAGCACCAUGUACUUACAGUGGUGGAAGUAACCACUGGAUAGUUAGAAACAUAUGCCAUCUCCCAUGCUACCACCCAGAACACUCUUCUGGGCCUUGAAAAAAAAGGUUUUACAGUGACAUAGCACCCCAGAAAGAAUUGAAUCAGAUGAAAGGACUCAUUUUUGAAACAACCACAUAGACAGCUGGGCCAAAGAGCAUGGCAUUGAGUGGGUAUAUCACAUCCCCUAUCAUGCACCAGCUUCUGGGAAAAUUGAACAAUAUAAUGGACGAUUAAAGACUACACUGAAAAUGAUGGGACAUGCAAAUAUUGGAGUACCUAUUUAGCAAAUGCCACCUGGUUAAUCACCACUAGAGGAUCUGCCAACCAAGCUGGUCUUGCCCAAUCAAAACUUCUAUGUACUGUAGAAGGGGAUAAAGUCCCUGUAUUGCAUAUAAAAAACAUACUGGAGGAGACUGGGUUAUUCCUGCCUCAGGCAAGGGCAAACAUCCAUGGGAUUGCUUUUGUUCAGGGGCCCAAGUACACUUGGUGGGUAAUGCAGAAAAUGGGGAAGUCCAGUGUGUUCCUCAGGGGAUUUGAUUUGGGGUGAGAAUAGCCUGUGAUUUGAAUUGUAAUAUUCCAGUUUCUGUAUCUAUAUAAUGCUGAAUACCAUCACUAUUCUGUUAAUGUUAUUACAGUAAGAGUCACCCAGACUGAUGAAGAAUGAAUUUUGAUGGAACCAAGCACAGAGCAGUGGUGAUAGAACACAAUAAGCUCUGUGGUGAUGGAACCAGAGCUGCCUUCAGCGUGCAACAGGCCAACAUCAGACAGCAUCCCUUCUGACCUGAAGUACCAUUUUGACACAAAGAAGUCCAAGGUCAUGGACUAAAAGACAUGACAACAGACAUUUAGAGAGAUGGCCCACAAACUAAGGGGAUAGUGUCUGCGUGUCAUAAAGCGGGAAGGGUGGCAGUGGUUAAUUAGAAUCUAUCGGAAAGCGUGGGACCUGAGCAAGGCUUAAAUAUUAUUGGAGAGGUGGAUAUUGUCCUGAUUUGGCUGGGACAGAGUUAGUUUGCUUUAUAGUGGCUGAUACAGUGUCAUGUUUUGGAUAUAGGAAGAAAAUAACGUUGAUAACACACCAAUGUUUUUGAUGUUUCAGAGUAGUGAUUACACAGAGCCAAGGACUUUUCAACUUCUCAUGGUGACAUGUCAGUGAGGAGGCUGGGGAUGCACAAGAAGCUGGGAGGAGACACAGACUGGAUAUCUGACCCAAACUAGCCAAAAGGAUAUUCCAUCUUCUAUGAAGUUAUGCUCAAUAAUUGUUAUAAUGAUGAGAACUGCUUUGUAUCAAAAUUGCCUAACUUUGGAUUAUUUACUAGCACAAGAAGGAGAAGUCUGUGGAAAAUUUAGCUUUAGUAAUUGCUGUUUAAAGAUUGAUAAAAAGGGUG